GCAGACACAUUCCAGCCAAUCAGCAGCAGACCCUCCCUCCCAGACCCUCCCACCUCGUGGACAGCAUCCAUUUUACAUUCAUUGUGAAGCUGCAUUCUUAGUGAGCUGCCCAGGAGGUGGGAGGGUCUGGGAGGGAGGGUCUGCUGCUGAUUGGCUGGAAUGUGUCUG
rnacentral:miRNA from 1 species